UACAGAGGGGGCAAGCGUUGUUCGGAAUUACUGGGCGUAAAGGGCGCGUAGGCGGUUUGUCGCGUCUGGUGUGAAAAUCCAGGGCUUAACCCUGGACCUGCAUCGGGUACGGGCAGACUAGAGUGCGGUAGGGGAGAUCGGAAUUCCAGGUGUAGCGGUGAAAUGCGUAGAGAUCAGGAGGAACACCGGUGGCGAAGGCGGCUUCCUGGGCCACAACUGACGCUGAGGCGCGAAAGCGUGGGGAGCGAACAGG
rnacentral:rRNA from 1 species